rnacentral:rRNA from 1 species
UACGUAGGAGACGAGCGUUGUCCGGAGUUACUGGGCGUAAAGAGCUCGUAGGCGGCUUGUCGCGUCGAAUGUGAAAUCUCGGGGCUCAACUCCGAGCUUGCAUUCGAUACGGGCAGGCUAGAGUUCGGUAGGGGAGACUGGAAUUCCUGGUGUAGCGGUGAAAUGCGCAGAUAUCAGGAGGAACACCGGUGGCGAAGGCGGGUCUCUGGGCCGAUACUGACGCUGAGGAGCGAAAGCGUGGGGAGCGAACAGG